rnacentral:rRNA from 1 species
GAUGAACGCUGACGGCGUGCCUAAUACAUGCAAGUCGAGCGAACGGACGAGAAGCUUGCUUCUCUGAUGUUAGCGGCGGACGGGUGAGUAACACGUGGAUAACCUACCUAUAAGACUGGGAUAACUUCGGGAAACCGGAGCUAAUACCGGAUAAUAUUUUGAACCGCAUGGUUCAAAAGUGAAAGACGGUCUUGCUGUCACUUAUAGAUGGAUCCGCGCUGCAUUAGCUAGUUGGUAAGGUAACGGCUUACCAAGGCAACGAUGCGUAGCCGACCUGAGAGGGUGAUCGGCCACACUGGAACUGAGACACGGUCCAGACUCCUACGGGAGGCAGCAGUAGGGAAUCUUCCGCAAUGGGCGAAAGCCUGACGGAGCAACGCCGCGUGAGUGAUGAAGGUCUUCGGAUCGUAAAACUCUGUUAUUAGGGAAGAACAUAUGUGUAAGUAACUGUGCACAUCUUGACGGUACCUAAUCAGAAAGCCACGGCUAACUACGUG